GUUUGCUUGCUCGGCUCUGAGCAGCACUCCAAGGUAGCAGGAAUAGGUGACAGCUUUGAAGGGAGGAGUGGAAACCAGUUACCUUCACCAGCAAGCAAUUUGGAACAGCAGAAUGGACUGUAGGGAUACAACAAAAACUGUACAGACCAGCAGCUGUGGAGCAAGAAGCAAGUGGAAAGACAGCUGGGCAUGCUGUCAUGCCGGGAGUCUCAGAAGAUUAAAAAACUCAGAGCAGAUCAAGAAGAUGGCUGAAGUUUGAACUCUUUAGUGAAAGAAGAUGCACUGCCAUUAGCAACAAAACAAUUUUAAUUAGCCCACUCCUGGAUAUGCAGUGAC